rnacentral:rRNA from 1 species
UACGUAGGGUGCAAGCGUUAUCCGGAAUCACUGGGCGUAAAGGGUGCGUAGGCGGUUAGACAAGUCAGAAGUGAAAGGCAGUGGCUCAACCAUUGUAAGCUUUUGAAACUGUUUAACUUGAAUGCAGGAGAGGCAAGUGGAAUUCCUAGUGUAGCGGUGAAAUGCGUAGAUAUUAGGAGGAACACCAGUGGCGAAGGCGACUUGCUGGACUGUAAUUGACGCUGAGGCACGAAAGCGUGGGGAGCAAACAGG